AGAGUUUGAUCAUGGCUCAGAUUGAACGCUGGCGGUAUGCUUAACACAUGCAAGUCGAGCGGUAACAGAGAUAGCUUGCUAUCUGCUGACGAGCGGCGGACGGGUGAGUAAUGCUUGGGAAUAUGCCUUAUGGUGGGGGACAACAGUUGGAAACGACUGCUAAUACCGCAUAACGUCUACGGACCAAAGGGGGGGAUUCUUCGGAACCUCUCGCCAUUUGAUUAGCCCAAGUGAGAUUAGCUAGUUGGUGAGGUAAUGGCUCACCAAGGCGACCAUCUCUAGCUGGUUUGAGAGGAUGAUCAGCCACACUGGGACUGAGACACGGCCCAGACUCCUACGGGAGGCAGCAGUGGGGAAUAUUGCACAAUGGGCGAAAGCCUGAUGCAGCCAUGCCGCGUGUGUGAAGAAGGCCUUCGGGUUGUAAAGCACUUUCAGUUGUGAGGAAAGGUUAGUAGUUAAUAGCUGCUAGCUGUGACG
rnacentral:rRNA from 1 species